rnacentral:tRNA from 1 species
UCCCUGAUAGCUCAGUUGGUAAAGAAUCUGCCUGCAAUGUAGAAGACCCCGGUUCAAUUUCUGGGUCAGGAAG